rnacentral:rRNA from 1 species
GUUUGAUCCUGGCUCAGAACGAACGCUGGUGGUAUGCUUAACACAUGCAAGUCGAACGGAUGAGAAUUUUAGCUUGCUAAGAUUUGAUUUAGUGGCAGACGGGUGAGUAACGCGUGGGAACCUACCUGAUAGUACGGAAUAACUGUCGGAAACGUCAGCUAAUACCGUAUAUUCUCUACGGAGGAAAGAUUUAUCGCUAUCAGAUGGGCCUGCGUUAGAUUAGGUAGUUGGUAAGGUAAUGGCUUACCAAGCCUUUGAUCUAUAGCUAGUUUGAGAGAAUGAUUAGCCACACUGGAACUGAGACACGGUCCAGACUCCUACGGGAGGCAGCAGUGGGGAAUAUUGGACAAUGGGCGCAAGCCUGAUCCAGCAAUACCACGUGGGUGAUGAAGGCCUUAGGGUUGUAAAGCUCUUUUAGCAGGGAAGAUAAUGACGGUACCUGCAGAAAAAGUCCCGGCUAACCCCGUGCCAGCAGCCGCGGUAAUACGGAGGGGGCUAGCGUUGUUCGGAAUUACUGGGCGUAAAGGGCGUGUAGGCGGUCUAUCAAGUUGGAAGUGAAAUCCCAGAGCUCAACUUUGGAAUUGCUUUCAAAACUGAUAGACUAGAGGCUGAUAGAGGAUAGUAGAAUUCUUAGUGUAGAGGUGAAAUUCUUAGAUAUUAGGAGGAAUACCAGAGGCGAAGGCGGCUAUCUGGAGCAGUACUGACGCUGAGGCGCGAAAGCAUGGGGAGCAAACAGGAUUAGAUACCCUGGUAGUCCAUGCUGUAAACGAUGAGUGCUAGAUAUCGGGAUUUAAAUUUCGGUGUCGUAGCUAACGCGUUAAGCACUCCGCCUGGGGAUUACGAUCGCAAGAUUAAAACUCAAGGGAAUUGACGGGGACCCGCACAAGCGGUGGAGCAUGCGGUUUAAUUCGAUGCUACGCGAGAAACCUUACCAACCCUUGACAUGUUAGUUUUGAGACCUAGAGAUAGGUUUCUUCAGUUCGGCUGGGCUAUCACAGGUGUUGCAUGGCUGUCGUCAGCUCGUGUCGUGAGAUGUUGGGUUAAGUCCCGCAACGAGCGCAACCCUUAUCCUUAGUUGCCAUCGAGUCAUGUCGGGCACUCUAAGGAAACUGCCAGUGAUAAGCUGGAGGAAGGUGAGGACGAAGUCAAGUCAUCAUGGCCCUUAUGGGUUGGGCUACACGCGUGCUACAAUGGUAGUGACAGCAGGACGCAAUGGGGCGACCCGGAGCAAAUCCUGAGAAGCUAUCUCAGUUCGGAUUGCACCCUGCAACUCGGGUGUAUGAAGUUGAAAUCGCUAGUAAUCGCGGAUCAGAAUGUCGCGGUGAAUACGUUCACGGGUCUUGUACACACUGCCCGUCAAGCCAUGGGAGUUGGUUCUACUCGAAGUUGGUGAGCUAACCCUUUUUGGGAAGCAGCUAACCACAGUGGGAUUGGCGACUGGGGUUAAGUCGUAACAAGGUAGCCG